rnacentral:rRNA from 1 species
UACGGAGGGUGCGAGCGUUGUCCGGAAUCAUUGGGCGUAAAGGGCGCGUAGGUGGCCCCUCAAGCGUGCGGUGAAAGUCAGGGGCUCAACCCCGUGAUCCGGCCGUGCGAACUGGGGAGCUUGGAGCACUGUAGAGGCAGGCGGAAUUCCGGGUGUAGCGGUGGAAUGCGUAGAGAUCCGGAAGAACACCGGUGGCGAAGGCGGCCUGCUGGGCAGUUUUGCUGACACUGAGGCGCGACAGCGUGGGAGCAAACAGG